AGAGUUUGAUCCUGGCUCAGGACGAACGCUGGCGGCGUGCUUAAUACAUGCAAGUCGAGCGAGGUUACUGCGACAGAUCCCUUCGGGGUGAAGUUGCUUUAACCUAGCGGCGGACGGGUGAGUAACGCGUGGGUAACCUACCCUAAAGUUCGGGAUAACAGCGGGAAACCGCUGCUAAUACCGGAUGCCUUUACCUUGGGGCAUCUUGAGGUAAAGAAAGGUAACGCUUUGGGAUGGGCCCGCGUCCCAUUAGCUAGUUGGUGAGGUAACGGCUCACCAAGGCGACGAUGGGUAGCCGGCCUGAGAGGGUGGACGGCCACACUGGGACUGAGACACGGCCCAGACUCCUACGGGAGGCAGCAGUAGGGAAUAUUGCGCAAUGGACGGAAGUCUGACGCAGCGACGCCGCGUGAGCGAUGAAGGUCUUCGGAUCGUAAAGCUCUGUCCUUGGGGAAGAAGGUCUUCGGACUUGACGGUACCCAAGAAGAAAGCCCCGGCUAACUACGUGCCAGCAGCCGCGGUAAUACGUAGGGGGCGAGCGUUGUCCGGAAUUACUGGGCGUAAAGGGUGCGUAGGCGGCCCUUUAAGUCGGAUGUGAAAGCCCGCGGCUUAACCGCGGAAUGGCAUUCGAAACUGGAGGGCUUGAGUGUCGGAGAGGGUAGUGGAAUUCCCAGUGUAGCGGUGAAAUGCGUAGAUAUUGGGAGGAACACCAGUGGCGAAGGCGACUACCUGGACGAUAACUGACGCUGAGGCACGAAAGCUAGGGGAGCAAACAGGAUUAGAUACCCUGGUAGUCCUAGCCGUAAACGAUGGGUACUAGGUGUAGGUGGUUUCGAUACCAUCUGUGCCGUAGUUAACGCAUUAAGUACCCCGCCUGGGGAGUACGUGCGCAAGCAUGAAACUUAAAUGAAUUGACGG
rnacentral:rRNA from 1 species